AUAAUGCUUUGAUGAUUGUGCCAAAUGAAGUAUUACGUUAUAGAAAAUUAUUAAAUUCCUCGAUUGACCAAAGUAAUAACCAUGAUAUAAUAUUUCAUCCUUCUGUUAUGGAAAAAAGAUAGAUCAAAGACCUAAUAAAUAUGCAGUUGGAAUGAUCGUAACACAUAAUGAAUAUGAAGAUGAGUGUAGUGAUAUUAAAAAUGAACAUAAAAAAAAUAUUGCAGGUGUAAUAAUCGGAUGGUACAUAAACGGUCACAAAAUUAGGUUAACCGGAAACAAAGUAUGGCAAUCUCGUAUGCGUUUCAAUAUUUGUUGUAAUUUUGGGGAUCCAAAUGAUCUAACACAUUAUGUAAUUCUUACGGAAAAGAAUGAAAUGUGUUGCGUAAAUGAAGGCGCCCUGACUUUAACAUCUAAAUGGAUCGAAAACAGCGAAAUAGGUCGAUAUUU